rnacentral:rRNA from 1 species
AAGUCGAGCGAACUGACGAGGAGCUUGCUCCUUUGACGUUAGCGGCGGACGGGUGAGUAACACGUGGGUAACCUACCUAUAAGACUGGAAUAACUCCGGGAAACCGGGGCUAAUGCCGGAUAACAUAUCGAACCGCAUGGUUCGAUAGUGAAAGACGGUCUUGCUGUCACUUAUAGAUGGACCCGCGCCGUAUUAGCUAGUUGGUGAGGUAACGGCUCACCAAGGCAACGAUACGUAGCCGACCUGAGAGGGUGAUCGGCCACACUGGAACUGAGACACGGUCCAGACUCCUACGGGAGGCAGCAGUAGGGAAUCUUCCGCAAUGGGCGAAAGCCUGACGGAGCAACGCCGCGUGAGUGAUGAAGGUCUUCGGAUCGUAAAGCUCUGUUGUUAGGGAAGAACAAAUGUGUAAGUAACUGUGCACAUCUUGACGGUACCUAACCAGAAAGCCACGGCUAACUACGUGCCAGCAGCCGCGGUAAUACGUAGGUGGCAAGCGUUAUCCGGAAUUAUUGGGCGUAAAGCGCGCGUAGGCGGUUUUUUAAGUCUGAUGUGAAAGCCCACGGCUCAACCGUGGAGGGUCAUUGGAAACUGGAAAACUUGAGUGCAGAAGAGGAAAGUGGAAUUCCAUGUGUAGCGGUGAAAUGCGCAGAGAUAUGGAGGAACACCAGUGGCGAAAGGCGGCUUUCUGGUCUGUAACUGACGCUGAUGUGCGAAAGCGUGGGGAUCAAACAGGAUUAGAUACCCUGGUAGUCCACGCCGUAACGAUGA